rnacentral:rRNA from 1 species
AACUGAAACAUCUAAGUACCCCGAGGAAAAGAAAUCAACCGAGAUUCCGAAAGUAGCGGCGAGCGAAAUUGGACUAGCCCUUAAGCUUUACACGCGUUAGACGAACGGUCUGGAAAGUCCGACGAUACAGGGUGAUAGUCCCGUAGUUGACGACGUGUGUUCAGUGAAAUCGAGUAGGGCGGGACACGUGAUAUCCUGUCUGAAUAUGGGGGGACCAUCCUCCAAGGCUAAAUACUACUGACUGACCGAUAGUGAACCAGUACCGUGAGGGAAAGGCGAAAAGAACCCCUGUGAGGGGAGUGAAAUAGAACCUGAAACCGUGUACGUACAAGCAGUAGGAGCAGGCUUUGUCCUGUGACUGCGUACCUUUUGUAUAAUGGGUCAGCGACUUAUAUUCAGUGGCAAGGUUAACCAUCUAGGGGAGCCGUAGGGAAACCGAGUCUUAACUGGGCGUUCAGUCUCUGGAUAUAGACCCGAAACCAGGUGAUCUAGCCAUGGGCAGGUUGAAGGUUGAGUAACAUCAACUGGAGGACCGAACCGACUAAUGUUGAAAAAUUAGCGGAUGACUUGUGGCUAGGGGUGAAAGGCCAAUCAAACCUGGAGAUAGCUGGUUCUCCCCGAAAGCUAUUUAGGUAGCGCCUCGGACGAAUACUACUGGGGGUAGAGCACUGUUAAGGCUAGGGGGUCAUCCCGACUUACCAACCCUUUGCAAACUCCGAAUACCAGUAAGUACUAUCCGGGAGACACACGGCGGGUGCUAACGUCCGUCGUGGAGAGGGAAACAACCCAGACCGCCAGCUAAGGUCCCAAAUUACUACUAAGUGGGAAACGAUGUGGGAAGGCUCAGACAGCCAGGAUGUUGGCUUAGAAGCAGCCAUCAUUUAAAGAAAGCGUAAUAGCUCACUGGUCGAGUCGGCCUGCGCGGAAGAUGUAACGGGGCUAAGUAGUAAACCGAAGCUGCGGCAAUAUACUUUUGUAUAUUGGGUAGGGGAGCGUUCUGUAAGCGGUUGAAGGUGUGUGGUAACGCAUGCUGGACGUAUCAGAAGUGCGAAUGCUGACAUGAGUAACGAUAAAGGGGGUGAAAAACCUCCUCGCCGGAAGACCAAGGGUUCCUGUCCAACGUUAAUCGGGGCAGGGUAAGUCGACCCCUAAGGCGAGGCCGAAAGGCGUAGUCGAUGGGAAACGGGUUAAUAUUCCCGUACUUCUUACAAUUGCGAUGGGGGGACGGAGAAGGCUAGGUGGGCCUGGCGACGGUUGUCCAGGUUCAAGUGCGUAGGCUUAAGAGUUAGGUAAAUCCGGCUCUUUCUAAGGCUGAGACACGACGUCGAGCACCUACGGGUGUGAAGUCAUUGAUGCCAUGCUUCCAGGAAAAGCCUCUAAGCUUCAGAUUGUAAGGAAUCGUACCCCAAACCGACACAGGUGGUCGGGUAGAGAAUACCAAGGCGCUUGAGAGAACUCGGGUGAAGGAACUAGGCAAAAUGGUACCGUAACUUCGGGAGAAGGUACGCUCUUGAUGGUGAAGUCCCUUGCGGAUGGAGCUGACGAGAGUCGCAGAUACCAGGUGGCUGCAACUGUUUAUUAAAAACACAGCACUGUGCAAAAUCGUAAGAUGACGUAUACGGUGUGACGCCUGCCCGGUGCCGGAAGGUUAAUUGAUGGGGUUAGACUUCGGUCGAAGCUCUUGAUCGAAGCCCCGGUAAACGGCGGCCGUAACUAUAACGGUCCUAAGGUAGCGAAAUUCCUUGUCGGGUAAGUUCCGACCUGCACGAAUGGCGUAAUGAUGGCCACGCUGUCUCCACCCGAGACUCAGUGAAAUUGAAAUCGCUGUGAAGAUGCAGUGUACCCGCGGCUAGACGGAAAGACCCCGUGAACCUUUACUACAGCUUGGCACUGAACAUUGACCCUACAUGUGUAGGAUAGGUGGGAGGCUUUGAAGCACGUACGCCAGUAUGUGUGGAGCCGUCCUUGAAAUACCACCCUUGUAGUGUUGAUGUUCUAACGUCGACCCCUUAUCGGGGUUGCGGACAGUGCCUGGUGGGUAGUUUGACUGGGGCGGUCUCCUCCCAAAGAGUAACGGAGGAGCACGAAGGUGGGCUAAUCACGGUUGGACAUCGUGAGGUUAGUGCAAUGGCAUAAGCCCGCUUGACUGCGAGAAUGACAAUUCGAGCAGGUGCGAAAGCAGGUCAUAGUGAUCCGGUGGUUCUGAAUGGAAGGGCCAUCGCUCAACGGAUAAAAGGUACUCCGGGGAUAACAGGCUGAUACCGCCCAAGAGUUCAUAUCGACGGCGGUGUUUGGCACCUCGAUGUCGGCUCAUCACAUCCUGGGGCUGAAGUCGGUCCCAAGGGUAUGGCUGUUCGCCAUUUAAAGUGGUACGCGAGCUGGGUUUAGAACGUCGUGAGACAGUUCGGUCCCUAUCUGCCGUGGGCGUUGGAAGAUUGAAGGGGGCUGCUCCUAGUACGAGAGGACCGGAGUGGACGAACCUCUGGUGUUCGGGUUGUGUCGCCAGACGCAUUGCCCGGUAGCUAAGUUCGGAAUCGAUAACCGCUGAAAGCAUCUAAGCGGGAAGCGAGCCCUGAGAUGAGUCUUCCCUGAUACUUUAAGUAUCCUAAAGGGUUGUCGGAGACUACGACGUUGAUAGGUCAGGUGUGUAAGUGCUGUGAGGCAUUGAGCUAACUGAUACUAAUUGCCCGUGAGGCUUAACCAUACAACAC